rnacentral:snRNA from 1 species
AGAUGUGAGGGCGAUCUGGCUGCGACAUCUGUCACCCCAUUGAUGGCCAGGGUUGAUUCGGCUGAUUUUGCUGGCUAGGCGGGUGUCCCCUUCUUCCCUCAUCGCUCCAUGUGCGUCCCUCCCAAAGCUGAGUGCUCGGUUGAAGAGGACGGCCUUCCCCAAAUAGAGAUGGACCGGUCUUCAGUUGAGGGUAUACGAGUAGCUGCGCUCCCCUGGUAGAACCUCCAAACAAGCUCUCCAACUAUCAAUAACUAUUUAAAUUGUGGCUCUUUAAAUAAAAAAAAAAAUUAGGUAAACUGAUUCCUACUUCUCUUU